rnacentral:rRNA from 1 species
UACAGAGGGUGCAAGCGUUGCUCGGAAUUAUUGGGCGUAAAGGGUAGGUAGGUGGUCUUAUUUGUCUGGGGUGAAAGCCUUGAGCUUAACUCAAGAAGUGCCCCAGAAACGGUAAGACUAGUGUCUCGGAGAGGUUAGCGGAAUUCCCGGUGUAGCGGUGAAAUGCGUAGAGAUCGGGAGGAACACCAGCGGCGAAGGCGGCUAACUGGACGAGCACUGACACUCAACUACGAAAGCGUGGGAGCAAACAGG